rnacentral:tRNA from 1 species
GGGGCGGUAGCUCAGUUGGUAGAGCACGGGCUUUGCAAGCUCGGGGUCGAGGGUUCGAGUCCCUUCCGCUCCA